AGUGGGGAAUUUUGGACAAUGGGCGAAAGCCUGAUCCAGCCAUGCCGCGUGCAGGAUGAAGGCCUUCGGGUUGUAAACUGCUUUUGUACGGAACGAAAAGACUCUGGUUAAUACCUGGGGUCCAUGACGGUACCGUAAGAAUAAGCACCGGCUAACUACGUGCCAGCAGCCGCGGUAAUACGUAGGGUGCAAGCGUUAAUCGGAAUUACUGGGCGUAAAGCGUGCGCAGGCGGUUAUAUAAGACAGAUGUGAAAUCCCCGGGCUCAACCUGGGAACUGCAUUUGUGACUGUAUAGCUAGAGUACGGCAGAGGGGGAUGGAAUUCCGCGUGUAGCAGUGAAAUGCGUAGAUAUGCGGAGGAACACCGAUGGCGAAGGCAAUCCCCUGGGCCUGUACUGACGCUCAUGCACGAAAGCGUGGGGAGCAAA
rnacentral:rRNA from 2 species